rnacentral:lncRNA from 1 species
GCCUUGCUUGAGUCCUUUGUAAAUUUUUAGCCUUUUAAAAUUUGCACCUCCUCUGAAAAAUUCAUGGAUCCGCCACUAGGUGCAGCUUCACCUCUUUGCGCCUUAAUAGGUCCACCCCUGGCGAUAAGCCAGCACAGCCAGCAACCCAACAACCAAGAAGUUUCAAAAUAUGAGUGAGUCAUGGAACGCGAUGAGCUACUAGGUUCAUAAAUUUGAAGGAAAAAACAGUUGUUAUAUGAGUGAGCCAUAAAGUUGCUAUGGUCGCUGAAAGCAGUCGCAGUGGACGAAGACCUUGUCCAUGGGGGGCCCCUGGAAUCACUG